rnacentral:lncRNA from 1 species
GGGAAGCGCUGGGAGGUGGGUGGGAGUUGUGUAGGGAGUUAGAAAAGUUGCCGAACUCCUAAAGUUCGCAGUUUCCCAGAAAGAUCUGCCUGGGUAGUAUUUAGGCGUCAUCCGCACAACUCUUCAAAUUUCAAAGUAAUGCAAUCGGGAGAUCUGGGGAGGCGCGAAGUGGGCUGGAGACCCACUUGGAAUGAUUUGUAAUCCACGAGGAACUUCGCUCAGAUGCAAACAAAAGGAACUCAGCAACUUUCUCCAAACAGCAACUCCCUUCCCCGCCUCCUUCUUUCCCCGGGCAGGACAUUACAACCAACCUAACUUCCCAAAGGAAACAACCCCAGGCAAAUAUGACACCCGAGCAAGUGACAAGCGUUAGAGGCAGCCAGGAGGGCAGCUCUGAUUGGGGAUAGAUAGCCUUGGCUCAGCCGCCUUGCGAGAGGCUGCUGGAGACUCCGAAGAUCCCGAACUGGGCCGUGCAGGAGAGUAACGGAACGGAUUGCAGAACUGCGGCCGCUGCAGCUAGCGCGGUGCGCAAUGUGGAUUCCUUAAAGCUCUUAAGUUCUCCAUCAAAGCGCGACGCAACGUACGGGAGGGAAAGUUAGAGGCUUAGGUGCAAUGCAUCUCUCCAGACCUCCGGUUCCGACGAGGACCGGAGCACACGUUGCGUGCCGCGUACGGGCAAAGGCUGAGCCCCAAGGCUGCCGAACACAUUACACGUUUUAUACUCAACACAAAAGUGUGCGAGGGACUUUAUGGAGAAAAAGCAAUGCAGCUCCAGCAGUCCGGGAGGCGGGGAAAAGAAUACAGGCAGCACGCAAUUACUUAAUGCUACACUUUAAAAACAACACACAAAGCAUCUAAUUGUAUCUGGGUUGCGUUUGUUCCACGUUCGUCCGCUUCGGAAGCACAAACAGAUCUGUCACAUGAAACAUCGAUCAAACAAGACUAGGAAGAUUAGGAAGGGAACAACACACAACACGGAUGGAAAGUCAAGAAGCCACACAAAGACAAGACACGGACGGACACCAAUUGCCAACACACAGAAACGCAGCUUCGGGUACAGAACCAAAUCCUCGCCGAUCUCCAGCGCUUGUUCUGCGGCGGGCAGUAAAAAGACUGUAUUUUUUCCACUUGAAGACUGUUCUUGGGAAAGUUUCUUCUCCAUCCGAAGGUAACCUGGACAUUGGGAGCAAAAUUGGAGGCAGCAAUCAACUCUCUCACACACAAAGAUGAUUGACUUCUCUCUUGAC